rnacentral:rRNA from 1 species
UCGGGUUGUAAAGCACUUUUGUCCGGAAAGAAAACUUCUGCAUUAAUACUGUGGGAGGAUGACGGUACCGGAAGAAUAAGCACCGGCUAACUACGUGCCAGCAGCGCGGUAAUCGUAGGGUGCGAGCGUUAAUCGGAAUUACUGGGCGUAAAGCGUGCGCAGGCGGUUCGUUAAGACAGAUGUGAAAUCCCCGGGCUUAACCUGGGAACUGCAUUUGUGACUGGCGAGCUAGAGUAUGGCAGAGGGGGGUAGAAUUCCACGUGUAGCAGUGAAAUGCGUAGAGAUGUGGAGGAAUACCGAUGGCGAAGGCAGCCCCCUGGGCCAAUACUGACGCUCAUGCACGAAAGCGUGGGGAGCAAACAGGAUUAGAUACCCUGGUAGUCCACGCCCUAAACGAUGUCAACUAGUUGUUGGGGAUUCAUUUCCUUAGUAACGUAGCUAACGCGUGAAGUUGACCGCCUGGGGAGUACGGUCGCAAGAUUAAAACUCAAAGGAAUUGACGGGGACCCGCACAAGCGGUGGAUGAUGGUGGAUUAAUUCGAUGCAACGCGAAAAACCUUACCUACCCUUGACAUGGUCGGAACCCUGCUG